rnacentral:tRNA from 1 species
GGUAAGAUGGCCGAAGUAAGCGGUGGAUUGUAGCCCCAUAUAUAGAGGUUUGAGUCCUCUUCUUACCAA